CUUCAGCGACCCCAGCCACAGCGGCCGGUCCCCCGGCCUGCCCCGCCCGUAGGUCGCCAGCAGCGCCUGCGCCUC
rnacentral:antisense_RNA from 1 species